AGUGGCAUGUGAGCCGGCGCAUCAGAUGCUUUCCUAUUCCGUGAUGUGAAAGCCCCGAGACGAAAAGGAACAAAAAAUAAAAACCCUGAUUUGAUGGAAGGAAAAUAAGUGUGGAAACACACUCCAUGAUCUGAUCCAAAACUUCAGCCAGAUUCACAGAUGUGAAUCACAGCCAAGAGCCCAGCCCCUUCAUGGACUGACAACUGAGACCUCACGCCUGCAGAGCCAAGACUCAUUCAUACCAAUCACAAGACAUGGGAAUGGAACCUUCACCUUAGUCCUGCACACUGAAGUACUUGACUCAUUAGAGGGAAUAUGAAAGUUGUUCCAAGCAAUUCAGCACCUCAAUCUCUCCUUACAUUUUAAGAGAAGCAACAAAAGACCCUGGAAAUAUUCACUGGACCAAGGCUGUAUGGACCUAGAAGCAAAAGUGAAAGAAAAUGUUUACUUCUUAUGGCUGUUCUGAGGCCUUCAAAAAGUAGCCAGGAAGAGAUGUUCUUGAGUACCACACAUCACUAGGAUACUGACAGCAUUUUCCUGACAGCAGGUUUCAAAAGCUGGAUCCAGAGCCACAUGUUCAACACCCAUAUGGGAAGAGGAGCAUGUCCAAUCCUACUAGGCUCAGGAGCCAUGGGCAGAAGUGUGGGUGCCUGAACAAGCUAAGGAAAAGAGGUUCUUGCUGACUCUUCAGUCUUCAAUGGCAGUGUGGGAUUUUGUGUUAUUGCAGAACAGUGAACGCUGUGACCAGGAAUCAAUUGGAGGAUAAGCAGCAGCACCAACCACCUUCCGUUGCUGCACACAUGUUUAAGGGAGCCAGAAAAAGAAGGAUGCAAUUGGUGGCAACAGACAGAAGCUGCCUUCUGAGAAACACGGCAAAGAUGAGAAUUGAACUAGCCCUCAAAAAAAAAAUUAAGAAGUGGAAAUAAGUUGUAUUACUGUACUUGGGAAAGGAAGAAACAGUGAAGCAGGAUGGAGAGCAAAACACCCUUUGGAUUCUUUGGAAGAAGGAAUGUGUGCUUUAUAACAUUCUCUGAAGUAACAUGGAGAGGAUGUAUUUACCAGUUCCAAACAACCACGUGACACUUUUUGAAGAAAACAAUUUUGGCAUGCAGAAUGAGAAGAAAGAUGAGAAUUUAGAUGCCAAGGUGACAAUUAUCUUUUGCUUUAUGGAGUUCUCUUGCUGCUGUAUAGAAAUCCAUUAGCUACCCUGCUUACUACUCUAAUACCUCAAUUUCUCCAUUCAGUUUGGUAUUGCUAGUGAGACCUGCAGCAUUUCUUAUUCUGAAGGCCUUGAGAUGUUUCCAAGAUGCAGUAUUUCACUGUUAGUUUUUUUAUCCUUUAAAAAGGAGUGUGUGGUGUCAAUCCUAUUACCAUUUUCUCAUUGUGUGCACAGUCAAGGUAAAUGUAGUCAUUAUAAACUUAUUUUCCCUAUAACUUUGCUCAGAAUGCUAAGAAAGUCUUAUCACUUUUUCUUUAUUUCUUUAUCUUAGAAUAAGGGCAAAUGUAAAACUGCACAAUUGACCUAUGUAAGGUUUUUCAAGGACCAAGAUGCCAACAAUUACCCUUGCUUGUUGUGGGCCCACACAACUUGUUUUGCAGUAACCUUUAACCUGCAAAAAUAGAAGGUGGGAGAAGGGGAAGGAAAAGAAAGAGAGAGAAGAGAAAGAGAGAGAGAGGGAGAAAAGAAAA